rnacentral:rRNA from 1 species
GACGAACGCUGGCGGCGUGCUUAACACAUGCAAGUCGAACGAAGUGGCGAACGGGUGUGUAUUACGUGUGUAACCUGCCCUCCUUUUUGGGUUAAGCCUUGGAAACGGGGUCUAAUACCGAAUAAAGGGGGAUGGGCUCGCGGCCUAUCGGCUUGUUGGUGGGGGGAGGGCCUACCAGGGCGACGACGGGUCGCCGGCCUGGGAGGGGGAACGGCGACAUGGGGCAUGAGAUACGGCCCAAACGCCUACGGGAGGCAGCAGUGGGGAAUAUUGCACAAUGGGGGAAACCCUGAUGCAGCGACGCUGGGUGCGGGAUGACGGCCUUCGGGUUGUAAACGGCUUUCGGUCAAGACGCGGUAGUGGCAGAAGAAGCACCGGCUAACUACGUGCCAGCAGCCGCGGUAAUUC